rnacentral:rRNA from 1 species
GACGAACGCUGGCGGCGUGCUUAACACAUGCAAGUCGAACGGAAAGGCCCUGCUUGCAGGGUACUCGAGUGGCGAACGGGUGAGUAACACGUGGGUGAUCUGCCCUGCACUUCGGGAUAAGCCUGGGAAACUGGGUCUAAUACCGGAUAGGAGCCAUUUUUAGUGUGAUGGUUGGAAAGUUUUUUCGGUGUAGGAUGAGCUCGCGGCCUAUCAGCUUGUUGGUGGGGUAAUGGCCUACCAAGGCGGCGACGGGUAGCCGGCCUGGGAGGGUGGACGGCCACAUUGGGACUGAGAUACGGCCCAGACUCCGACGGGAGGCAGCAGUGGGGAAUAUUGCACAAUGGGCGCAAGCCUGAUGCAGCGACGCCGCGUGGGGGAUGACGGCCUUCGGGUUGUAAACUCCUUUCGCUAGGGACGAAGCUUUUUGUGACGGUACCUAGAUAAGAAGCACCGGCUAACUACGUG